CGCACACGAUGGCAGGAGGAACACCAAAGGUCUCAGCAUUCAUCCUUCCAGUUAAGUGACGCCAGAGGAGGGAGAGUGCCACCUCUGCAACAGUCCCAGAAAAAGUCCGGGUGCUUUUUGGACUUUUUUUUUCCUGCCACGUCUUGAACCAAUCCCUAUGGCAAGUGAGAAAAAAACCACAUGCAUAGCCUUGCCCUGGACCAUAUGGCCAAUCCUGGAGCCAAGAGGAGGGGCCAGCAAAAGUGUGUCAACUGAAGCUAGUUGCAUCCUAGGAAGACUUUGCUGGCCUGAGGACUUUUAAAACUGAUCUGCUCCAUAACUAGAAGUAAUUGUUCUUAUGAUUGAAACUAACAACUAUAUAAUGCCUGCUAGGCAUAAUGCCAAGACAUGAUUUGAUUUCAGGUUAAAUUUGCAGCUAAGUUGAUUUUGCAAAAUGUGCCCACAUGUACUCAGGCAGUAUGGAUGCCCUCCCUCCCUCCCUCCAUUCACCCUAAAAAUGCACUUGUCCACAGAGUUGGAUAUCCUUCCCUUGUUGGAAUUUAACACUGUACAUUUAAGGCUGAGGCUUCCAAGGCUAAUAGAAAAAAAUUGUUGUUGAUCAGUGUCUGCCAAAUGUAAAAUGCCAUGUUCAGAUGCCUUUAGGACAUCUAUGAAAACAGCCAGAAAUGGGGCCAUGGUAUUUAUCAAGUCAAUGGAGACUCAUGCGUAAUAACAGUCAGUUGUUUUAUGCUAUUAAGAAAUGAGCAGAUCUGUCAGGAGAAUGUUCAACAUAAGCUAAUGUCAAACUUGCUGGAAUAACUUACUCACUGCAGGGUUCCCAUCUGUGAAGUCACUGGGGACAUGGCCGCCUCCAUGUGAUUCUUUAGAUUUGUCAGUUAAAUUAGACCCCCAAGGGCAAAAGCAACGACAGGGACAUUAUGGGACACUCCUAGAGGAUCCGGAAUCCAUAAUCCCAGGGGUAAGUCCCAUUCACAAUUUUGUUCAUGCUGAUACUAGGGGUCAGUUUUAUAAGAAAGCAGUGGAUAAAAAGAAAGCCGGCCGCUCAGCCCUCUCAAGAGUGUCGGUGGCAAUCUGCCUAGAUGCAUAUUUUAUACGAUUGGAGAGAAUAGAAUGGCUCUACUUUGUUUGCCAGUAGGAAAGUCCCAGAAUAAACUGGAGAGAAGGGCUUGCAGGUUUUUUUGGAAUUGGAUAUCUUUGCUGCACUAAGGCAGGCUACUUGUCAAGGAAGUUGUAUUGAUGUGAUACUGUUUGAAGUUUUACUAAUGUUUCCCAGUGACAUACCCAUCUGAAGGUAAAAAUAGCAUACAAUAACAAAAAAAGAGCGAGUUUCUGUUUUGAUCUCUUUCAGCAACUGGAAGAAGAGCAACCGUUUCAUUUCACUUAUUCUAGUUUGCUCUCUCGUUUUCAUGCCCUCCUUCACCCCCACGAUUCUUCACUACACGGCCUUCAGAAGGUCAUGGGUUGGCAGUAAGGCUCUCUUGGGUAAGAGAAUGUACAAUAGAAGAUAUUGUAUAUGAACAUGCAACUCAAAACAGUCCCAACCCACUCCCUCUCCUCCCACCAAUACUGAUCUAAAUUCUUUUGACCAAACUGGUAGGUCUCAACACUCUCUUCCUUUAGGGUAAGUUAUUUGUUAGGAAGUUCCUUUAACCAUAAUGAAAACGGGCUCCUGAUGGGUUUACUCAAUUAGUCCUCAGAUCCACCCUAGCAUGUCUGGGUUUUAGGGUGAGCACAGUCUACUGAGAAGGCUCUGCCCCGACCACAGCAAGCUAACUGUCUCAAUGACCUUUCAAUGACCUGCUUUAAAUGUCAGAUAGUAAAAGUCAAAGACUGACCAGACCACAGUAAAUAUUUUGCUUUAGACUGCUCAGAAGCAGACCCUGAGACAAAGAGUCACGUGGGAGUGAUGUUUUGGGGAGGUGACACUAGGAAACAUUUGUAGCGGAGUGAGGAAGGGGCACAAGGAAGGGAGGGGCCAAUAAAGCAUGUAUUAUGAAGCCCGUUACCACUUUAGGCAGCUGGUGCUUUUUCUGCCCAGCAACUCAGGGAGAGAGUGUAGAACAUACCUUAGAGUUGUCGCAGCUGAGAAGUGAGGAGGCUGGAAUAUGUAUCCCCCAAAUAUCCUCUGUCAUCAGUUUAUUUCAGGGGCAUUGACACCCCCGCAUUUACACCUUGCCCUGUAGGAGUGCUGACCCGUCUCUCGAAACUGGAAAAUAUAAGCAGAGCAUUGUAGGCAUUCGUAUUUAGCAUCCUUUGAUGUGCAGAGGUGGGUAGAUACGGAUGGGGUGCUGGUGGAGCCUGCUAUAGCAACAGUGAGAAAAGGAGUAGGAGGCAGAUGAGUAAUCAUCAGGAUCAGCAGAAAAGCCAUCUUUUUGUGGUUUUCCUAUCAGUGCAUUAACAGAGUUCAUCUCAGACAAAGAAUGCCGGGACACUGGCAAGUGAAAACUUCAAAAUACUCACAGUUUAUACAAUUCUGCAAGGCAACUAACCCUCAUUUGCCAUUGGGUAGGUGUACAAGAAGUUUUAACAAGGAAGGAGAAAUUCGAUAGACAGAUAGGCACAAAGAAAUCUGAGUGUAGAAUACACUUUGAAAUGAUCUAUUGUGGACUUAAUCUCUCCACACAAACCCAAGAGUCCUUUAGCUAAUUCCUUUCCCAAUGAAGGAGCCAAUCAAUGUUCUUUCAGGGGAGAAAAUUACUGGAGAGCCUAGUAUGUGUUUUGAUGCCCUAAUGAGGCACUAUGAAUUACCCAACCCAAACCAAUUAAGUCUUAGCCCGAAUAGAGGGCUACCGAGGAGAUGAGGGCGCAGCAUGCAUUUAGGGCAGAAUUAACUGCUUCCAUAGCCUGGAAACAUGCCUGGGGGGAUGCCAAACCUUGUAGGCGCUCUGUUGUCCUUAAAGCUGGCAGUCAAAAUGUGAUCCAGCCCAAUGUUAGCUUUUAACGCUUUUUCUUCUUUGGCCUUAAAUUUUUAAAAUGCCUGUAAAACAUAAAAUAUGUUUUGAGCAUUACAUAAGGCUAUUAAGAGAGGGUGAAUCAUGCAAACACAGUAUGUCAGAGACAAUAAAGUAAGUGAAAUGAACUGCUGCUGACUAGCUGCUUGACCUUGGGCUAGUUGCUCAGUCCUUCCUUGUCAAUCAAAGAGGAAAUUAUAGCCCAAUAAUGUGGUUUUGGAUUGCAGCUCAAUAAGCAAGCUCUAAUCUCUUGGUUACGCCUUACUGUAGCAUGGGAAACCAGGCACUUAUUUUCAUUUUAAUGUGAUCUCUUCCAGUGGACUGUGACCUCCUAAAGCACCCAGCACAAUGCCUGGCUUGCCUUAGGAACUUGGGAGCUCUGUGUUGAAUAGAUGUGAAAUGAAUAGUGGAAAAAGUUAUUUCAAAUAUUACGGUGCACCUAGAAAUAUGUGAAUAAACAUACCAUCAACACAAAUACCUGUUUUAAAGAGAAUGACGGAUAUUGAAUUUUUAUUCAGCCCAUGUACAUUAGUGGGAUGGAGGGAGCAGAGCAGAGGGGUGCCGUGAGUGAGGUGUGUUGUGUGGUGACUAACGUAACAGCCUUUCCAGUCAGGCAGCCCUGGGCUGGCUGGAAUCUUGGCUCUGCUACCUGCUAGCUGUGUGUCCUUGCACAAGUUAACUAACUUCUCUGGGUUUCAGUUUCUUCUGGAUCUUACAGGUUGCAGAAAGGACCUCGUAACCCUGCAACAUCUAGAAGGGCUAGAAAAACAGU